UUUCUAGGGUUUGCUCUUCCAUUCUUCUUCCAUUUUUCAUCUAGUUUCACCAUGUCUAUGGUGAACUACCCUAUUGUUGCUGGGGAAAACAAUGUCAUCUUUUGAUACUCUCUCUUAUUGAAACUAUUGAUUAUUUAUAUGGUCUCCAUAUGUUUCGAUUGAUUAUUGUUGGGUUAUCAUCUGUGCUUAAGGCCUUUAUCGUUUAACUCAUUCGGUACAUUGAUGUUUGUCUUUAUUGAUAUGGGGACGUACAGUAAUGACAUGAACUGGUAGUAAUCUCUUGAUUUUGCAAUACCACCUAGGGAUAGGGGUAGGACGAUCAAUUGCGCUAACUUAUGUUUAUAAUGCGGUAUUAAUUACUAGGGGAGGCUAGGGAUAGCAAGCUAGUAGUUAAUAUUAGGCCCUUUUCGCCGAGGGAUCGGGUCGAGGGGAGGCUAAGAAAGUCGCAUAACAAUUGAAUCAAUCAACUAAUAUUCAAGGGUAGUAUGUAAGAGAGAGUGGAAUAGAUGAAAUUGUUAGUACCCAACAACAUCCAUUCAUCCAUUGUUUUCGUUUGUCAAUUGAAUCAACUUUAGUUUUUUAUGUUAAUAUUUUUGUUCUCAAAUCCAAUUUAUUAAUUUUUAUUUUUCAAGUCUUAUUAUUUUAAUUCACGCGAACGAGAAAGCCACACGAGUCUCUUGGGAAAACGAUACUUGGUCUUACCAUUUAUAUUACUUGUACGAUUUGGUACACUUGCCAAUUUGUCAACACU
rnacentral:lncRNA from 1 species